rnacentral:rRNA from 1 species
UACGUAGGUGGCAAGCGUUGUCCGGAAUUAUUGGGCGUAAAGCGCGUGUAGGCGGCUCGAUAAGUCUGCUGUGAAAGUCCAAGGCUCAACCUUGGGAUGCCGGUGGAUACUGUCGAGCUCGAGUCCGGAAGAGGAGUGUGGAAUUCCCGGUGUAGCGGUGAAAUGCGCAGAUAUCGGGAAGAACACCCGUGGCGAAGGCGGCUCUCUGGGACGGUACUGACGCUGAGACGCGAAAGCGUGGGGAGCGAACAGG